GUGUGUGUUUGUGUGUGUAAUGGAUGCAUUGUAUGUUUCUCUGUGUGUAAGGGAAGCAUGGUGUGUUUCUGUGUGUGUAGAGAUGCAUUGUGUGUUUCUGUGUGAAAGAGAGAGUUUGUGGGGUAGGAUAGGGGCCUCUUCCCUCCUCCACCCGCUUUCUAUUAGUGGUGUCUCCUUCCCCCCCCCCUGCCCCUAGUGGUCUCUUCUCUCUCCCCUCG